CGGAGGGUGCAAGCGUUAUCCGGAUUCACGUGGGUUUAAAGGGUGCGUAGGUGGGUUGGUAAGUCAGUGGUGAAAUCCCCGAGCUUAACUUGGGAACUGCCAUUGAUACUAUCAGUCUUGAAUACCGUGGAGGUCAGCGGAAUAUGUCAUGUAGCGGUGAAAUGCUUAGAUAUGACAUAGAACACCAAUUGCGAAGGCAGCUGGCUACACGAAUAUUGACACUGAGGCACGAAAGCGUGGGGAUCAAACAGGAUUAGAUACCCUGGUAGUCCACGCCCUAAACUAUGGAUACUCGACAUACGCGAUACACUGUGUGUGUCUGAGCGUAAGCAUUAAGUAUCCCACCUGGGAAGUACGAUCGCAAGAUUG
rnacentral:rRNA from 1 species